GGGUUUGUGGCUUAGUGGUAGAGCACUCGCCUAACAUGUGAGGCACUGGGUUUGGGUUCGAUCCUCAGCACCA
rnacentral:tRNA from 1 species